CCCUUAGAUGUUCUGGGCUGCACGCGUGUUACAAUCGGGAGUACAACAAGAUUGCAAAUCCUAGUGGAUGAGUGGUUCUUCGAAAUUUUCUGAAGACUGGGAUAGUUGAUUGAAAUUAUUCAACUCGAACGAGGAAUUCCUUGUAAUUGUAAUUCAUUAUAUUGUAAUGAAUACGUCCCUGCCCGUUGUACACACCGCCCGUCGCUCCUACCGAUUGAACGAUCCGGUGAAUUAUUUGGAGUAGCUCUGGAAGUUGCAGAACUUCCUAUGUCACGAAAUUUUGUAAACCUUAUCGUUUAGAGGAAGGAGAAGUCGUAACA
rnacentral:rRNA from 1 species